rnacentral:tRNA from 1 species
AAGGUGUGGGGCAAGACAGGGUCCAAGCUGUAUGGAAAGACCAAUGGCUCGGAUUUCGCAGA